AUAUCAUGACUGUAUCGGACUUGUUGGAACAACCUUGCAACAAGUCUGACGAUAUCAACAAGUUUUUUUACAAGCUCUCAACAACUUGCAACAAGCUUGAUGGCAUUAUCAGACUUCUUACAAGGUUGUUCUAACAAGUCUGACACAGUCAUCAUGA
rnacentral:miRNA from 1 species